UAAGGUAACAAAGAAGAAAAGCAAGAGAGAGAAGAAGAGAUGAAAGACUGAGUUGGGAUAUAAAAUCUCUUAUUGCUUUCCAAUUUUUAUUCUUGUUUU
rnacentral:ribozyme from 1 species